AUGCGGGCAGCGAGGGAAGGAGCAGGGGCUCAUUGGACUAUGCUGGAGACUUGCAACUGCGGCUUCUUGCAAGGAGACCGGCGCCAAGGACGAGGUUUGAAGCUCGAGGGCGAGUUGGUGUCCGACGCGGAGAUGUCGUGUGAUAGUAGCAGGAGAAGGCGCGGAGUUGUCCAGCUGGACGCGGUCAGGUGCAGGAGGGAGCUCGGGGAAACGAUGGCGGCGCUGCUCGAUUGA
rnacentral:rRNA from 1 species